AUUGAACGCUGGCGGCAGGCCUAACACAUGCAAGUCGAACGGUAACAGGAAACAGCUUGCUGUUUCGCUGACGAGUGGCGGACGGGUGAGUAAUGUCUGGGAAACUGCCUGAUGGAGGGGGAUAACUACUGGAAACGGUAGCUAAUACCGCAUAACGUCGCAAGACCAAAGAGGGGGACCUUCGGGCCUCUUGCCAUCAGAUGUGCCCAGAUGGGAUUAGCUAGUAGGUGGGGUAACGGCUCACCUAGGCGACGAUCCCUAGCUGGUCUGAGAGGAUGACCAGCCACACUGGAACUGAGACGCGGUCCAGACUCCUACGGGAGGCAGCAGUGGGGAAUAUUGCACAAUGGGCGCAAGCCUGAUGCAGCCAUGCCGCGUGUAUGAAGAAGGCCUUCGGGUUGUAAAGUACUUUCAGCGGGGAGGAAGGGAGUAAAGUUAAUACCUUUGCUCAUUGACGUUACCCGCAGAAGAAGCACCGGCUAACUCCGUG
rnacentral:rRNA from 1 species